CAUCGCUCCUGACUGCUGAACUUUCUGGGCCGGAGCCUCUGAACCUUUCAAGCGUGAGAUGGAGCAAAGGGAGAAUCAAGACUCUGAAACAGAGGAGCCCCGAGGAUGAGAGAUGGAUAAAGAUCUUGGAAGUUUAUUCAUGGGAUGAUAAUACAUUUUAUGGUGAUUUGACUAAGAAUAAAUGGAAAGCCAAAGGUUCACUGCUAUAGGACAUCAUAUUUAAAUCACCUAACAUGCUAAUCGAGCUGAUUCUAAUAAAUGAUUGCAGAUAG